rnacentral:tRNA from 3 species
GGGCGGUUAGCUCAGUGGUUUAGAGCGCUGCGUUGACAUCGCAGAGGUCACAAGUUCGACUCUUGUACCGCCCACCA